GUUGAUUUACAUGAAACUUUCAUAGUAGAAUGACAAUUCGGUUAAAUCCUCUCCUUUUUAUUUUUGCAAUUAUGUGCAUUGCUUCACUCAUGGUUGCAGGAUUUCAAGAUUUACAACAUUCUGAUACAUUACGGUGCUUUAAUUCUGGUGCAUGUCCAAAUGAUAUUGAAGCUUGUCGACAAUCUUGUAUAUCAAAGGGUUUUCCUAAAGGUGGCAAGUGUGGAGCGAAAUUAUCCACAUGUUGUUGCUAUGAGAUUAGAGAGAUCUACAAAUAAAAGCUUCAAGACUUUUACAAAAAAGUUGAAAAAAUCAAUAAUGUAAUUUCUUUUAAAUAAUGCUAUGAACUUUUUCUUUCCA